rnacentral:lncRNA from 1 species
UGGAAAUCAAAAGUGGAGAAAUACAAGAGACAGUAUUAUUAUUAUUAUUACCAUUAUUUUUUUGUUUUUCCUGAUUUACUACACGAAGUUAUCUAUAGGAAAAUAGUAAUGAAAAUUAUAAUAAUAAACACGCCGCUUCUUUGAGAAACAUAGCGACGUGCACUUGCGUAUAAACGUAAGUCUUUACACAUACACACAGACACAUAGGUGUUAUAAGUUUGUCAUACAAAAACCCGCGAAGGAAGAGGAAGCGCAACUGGAAGAUAUAAACAAACUUAUUCAUACGUCGGUAAGCAUUUGGUAAACAAUUCUAACUGCGGUUUUCUCGCUGUAGUUCCCGGCGAAGAGAAGAAAGUAAUUAACCAAUUAUUUAUAUACGUGUUAUACAUGUACGCGUGAGAAAUUCUUCAAAAGGUAGGAA